rnacentral:rRNA from 1 species
UACGGGGGGGGGCAAGCGUUGUUCGGAAUUACUGGGCGUAAAGGGCUCGUAGGCGGCCAACUAAGUCAGACGUGAAAAUCCCCAGGCUCAACCUGGGAACUGCGUCUGAUACUGGAUGGCUUGAAUCCGGGAGAGGGAUGCAGAAUUCCAGGUGUAGCGGUGAAAUGCGUAGAUAUCUGGAGGAAUACCGGUGGCGAAGGCGGCAUCCUGGACCGGCAUUGACGCUGAGGAGCGAAAGCUAGGGGAGCAAACGGG